rnacentral:lncRNA from 1 species
GCUGGGAAGGUCGGGAAGGAUGCAGAGAGGAGCCAGGGAAGCCACGCUGCUAUUUAUCCUCUCUCCCUCUCGCCCUCUUCUCCACCCCUCAUGACUCAAUUACCCCUGUGAGGCACUGAGUUGGUCUUCAGUCAAGGAGGUGUUUCCCAGGGAGAUUUGGAGUUGAGCAAUGGAGAGGAGGAGGAAGAGAGGGUGAGUCAUGGAUGGAGAAGAACUCUGGCAUCUUUGCUCCUUGCCCUCCACCCCAGAGAUGGGUGUCUGCCCUUCCAACCACCUCCUCUUUCAUUCCUCACCCACUGUCCAGGCAUGAAAAGGGCAUCGGAAGGAAGGGCAGGUGGUGGUGGGCAGGCUUGGGGCAGCAGAUGCAUCUAGAAGCCAGUUGGGAGGGAGGCUAAGACCAGAACGAGAGCCAGUGGGUGGGUACAGUAGGUGCAGGGGUGAAAGAUAUUUGGGUUUUGGUGCCAAGGGGAGAGACUGAGAGAGGGGUGGAGGUGGGAUUGCUGGUGGGAAGGCCAGGCAGGAACAAUGUGCAGGGUGUGAGCAGCUGGAGGUGGCAGAGCUAUGUGUGUGGGUGCCCAGGUGUGGCGAGAAUCUGCACGUGUUUUCAGGCUUUGCUCAAACAAAGGCGCCAAGGCCCACUCCCCUCAGAGGACCCGGGGUUCCUCUCCAGCUCCUGGACACUUGACUCCACCCAAAGACAGGCAUCCCAGGACAGAUAUCCAGAAGCUUCUGCCUUCUCUGGGCUCUGCCUAUAGAGGGUGACUAAGUGUGCCACCUCUCCAAGCUUGAGCUCAUCAAAUCU